rnacentral:tRNA from 1 species
GGAAGCGUGCCCGAAAGUUAAGGACCUCCUUGAUAGGGAGGAUUAUAGGGGUUCAAAUCCCCUC